AGCCGCGGACAGAAGCUUUAACUACGGUAAUGGGAUGCGUUGUACAGAAGUGGCUGACUUGCAAGAGUUAUUUUAACAAGUGAAACACAUUUAGUCUUCGUUUUCCAAUGGACUUUAAUUUCGAUUACGCACUAAAAAAAAAAAACAGAAGUCCUGAUUGACCACAGACUGUAACGUUUUACUGCUAAAUUGCACUCCACCUGAAGCUGAGAAGGGAGCACACAACUGCUUUCCAGAGAUGACUGGUGUUUGAGAUUAAAGAAACAAAGCUGACAAACGGACAAACAGCACAGAUGAAAAAGCUACCAAUAGUCUCCAAAACCACUGAACUGUGAAAACUGCUCCAGUGGACUAAACGCUUCUAGACAUCAGGUUAUCAAGAAAGAAAAGGCAGCAAUGUGACCAAAAGCUUCCAGACGGCAGCUUCAAAACUAAACAGAACAGGAAGCAGCCCCCAGGCUGAGCCAGACGAUUAAACAGUUGUGUCAUAAAAUUAGGAAAUGAUUAAGACUUCCAGCUUUGUUUCUACCUUGCAAGAAAAAGCCACACCUCCUCUGUAAAUAGUGAAGUGGUGGCUAACCCUUUGGAACCAUCUACAUUCACGGUUUUGUGAAAAUAAGAAGAACCUAAACACCCCUUUCAUCUAUUUAGAAUGGAUUAAGACAUCUAUUAAGUUAUGAGGUAAAGUAUUUUGUUAGAUAUUUAGGUCCUAAACACAUUGUAUUGACAUUAAAAGUACAUUUUAACAUUUAAUACAAAGCUAAUUCAGUAGAACCUGUGGAUGAAUGCGAAUACAACAGCUUUUACCUCUGUAUGAUAUCAGAAACGAUUUAGUUAUUUAUUUUAAAAUCCAAACCAGCAAAUGGUCCUAUUUAUCUGGAGCUUGACUUGAAGACACUAUCAAGACUUUUGAAGUAAUAGUUUGUGACAGUUAUGUUUAAACAUACAAUAUAGCACAGAGGGUUAGUGUUUCAGAAUCCCUCAUCUCAGACACUCCGAGCAGUCAUGGGUACUGAACCUAGCACCUGGGUUGCAAAUACUUCAUGCCUGACAUCUCUCAUGACAGAACUCAACACCUGGGUUACAAUCAAUUUUGAGAUCAUAUGAUGAUUACAAAAUAAAGUUUGUCUGGAUGAAAAUGUCAUCAACAGUCUUCAAAUAAUGUAAAUUUUCAAGAAUACAGUCCAUUUUAUUUCAUCUGUUGAUCCGUGUACAUCCUAAUGUACUGCUUGCGAUAAAAAUGUAAGGUCAAAACCUAAAAACACAUCCACUUCAAUUUAGACUCAUUUUUUUAUUUUAAUGUUAUUUUACUGGAACCAAUUAUAAGAGGGAGUUCUGGCAUUUUUGUGGGAUACAUUCCGGUAAAAAACAGUAGCGCUUUUCUUUGUGGGACAGCAGACCUGUGUUUUCUAUUUAGGUCAGAUGUCUUGGAGAGGGAGAGGAAUAGGAGGAGAGCAGAAAUUGUGAUGAAAUGCUCUGUUUCACACACUUGCCCUCUAGAAGGACUGGCAAAGGCAGUCACUUAAAUUAAGGACAAGUCGUCAGGCAGGAGACCGAUCUGGUCUGAAGAAGGAUGACUUCAGCAGCCUGAAUCCCUGUGGCUUUUCCUGGUGACACAAUAAACUACUUCCUAAUCCACCUCUGUCACUUCUUGUUAGGUUUAAGGUUUCUGGAAACCAGCAUUCCAUGUAAGGCUGUAGCAUUAUUGCUCAUAGCUAAGGAAAAUGCUCUAGAUUAUUUAUGACCUGGUAACUAAGUGGAAAUGACAGACGUGAAGUUUUUUGUUUUUUUUUUUAACUCAAAUUCAAGUUUCUUAUCAAUUUUUUAUUUUUCAUCGGUUUCAAUGAUAUUUAAAAUGGCAUGUAGUUGCUUUCAUAUAUCAUGUCGCAGUAAAUAGAAAUAAAACACAGAAAUGAGACAAAAAUGGAAACAAAACAAAACAAAAAAAGAUUCCAUUAUUACAUCACCAUGAGAAAAAAAUCCAAUAAUUAAGUGGAAGUUCUUAUCAAAUGGCUUGAGCAACAAUGCACCUCAUGACAUGUUUUUAAAAUAUCGUUUAAACAUAUAUAAAAGUUAAAAAUAAAUAAAUAAUGUCUAAUGCUGCUUGAUUUUUAAUCAUUCCAUCCUGUUUAUUUGUUAGAAGGAAAUAAUAUGACAAAGUGCCAUUCAGGAAGAUAAUCAUACCCUGCAAACAUCAUAUGUUAAGGCCAUGCAAAACAACUGUAUACCGCAGUGACUCAGCAUGUUAUAGAAAUGAUGCGUUCUCAACUGACUUUUUUUUGCAAAUAUAAGCAAUUUUACAAAGCUUGAUUCAAAACAAGGAGUGUAUAUGACAUGCCACAGACACCACAGUCACAAGGAUAUAACUAGCAUUUAUGAAAAGGCUGUGAGUCAACAGUUUCAGGUUGACUGGUAUCGCUGGCCAAAAAAAUCUAACCAAAAAAAUGUAUUUGUUUAAAAAUGUUGUUGGAGCUAUUGCGGUGUGGUCUUAUUUGCAAUUUGCAUGGAGAAAUUGUAGUGUCAAUAUUUUUAAUAGUUUGACUAAGAUGCACCUGACACCAGUACUGUCAGCUCAGACUUAUUUAAAAUAAGCCAUUGCAUAGUGUAAAGAUUCACAGUGAGAAACCUGACACUCCUUAGUUAUGAGUUUGAAUAAGAACUUCUCCCAAAUAUCUGAGAACAUUCACAUUUGUACUUACAACCUAAAUGUACCCAAAUAUAACCAAACCACACAAAAGGAGCAUUAAACCUUUACAGAAGAAAAGGAUCAAUCAUUUAUCAUUAAAAAACGAAGGUAUUCAAAAAAUAUGCAGAUACAGAACACAUUACAUGACGAUAAUAACAUCUGGUUUGGUAGACAUGCCUAUUCACUACCAAUGUAAAAAGACCAGUUACUUUUUGGAAAGGUAUUGAAAACUUAAUUUAUAAAUAUAAUAGUAUUAUUGUUAUUCGUGGUGGGGGCUGGUCUAUAUAAACAUAUUUGCUUUGUUCUCUGAUUACCUUUCUUGUUACGUUACAGAUGACCAAGACGACCUGUUUCUGCAGGAUUUUCUGUAUUAGGUCCAGGUUGCAUUCUUAAUAAUUAUUAGAUUGCAUUGUCAAAUAAAUAAAUGACAUAUCUGAUCCCCUGCACCUCAGAGCACCAAUUAGGAUCUAUUCCCCUCACCUUAGCGACCCUUGCUGGGUGAUGUUUGAAUAGCCUCAGAAGCAUGGCAUAGCAAUCCAGCUGUAUGCAGUGCACUAGCUGUGUCACACCCAUCAUUCAGGGCUACCUCCCAAUGAGUAUUAUCUGCAGGCUCUGCUCAGAUCACAACCUGUUUGACAUAAUAGGCUAGAGAGGGUCACCACAGUGCAAAAAAUGAAGGAACCAUUGCAUUUUACCUUUUUUUUUUAAACAUACAUUUCAUUUCAGUGUGGAAAGAUGAACAGAAUGUCCUUGUUUGUCCAUUCAACUUAUGUCUCUUCCAGAUCUUUUAAGAGAUCUAUCAAAUCUAUUUAUUUGUAUGUGAUGUUUGCUUCAGUGAACAUUCAACGCUGUCGGUGAGUUUAAGAUAAAUGGGAAAAAACCAUCGACCGUUGAUUGUACCCUGUAGCCAACCUUCAUCUGCCUCACAGCGAAUGCACAAGCAGUGGCUUUCAGCUCUUGAGCCUAUGAGGGUGGACAGUUACUGUGUUUUUUUGUCCGCAACAAGAUGCAGCAAAGGUCACAGUCAACAUUCAUUGCUGUCGGUGGGUUUAACUGUGUGGAAAAGCUCGCUGAACAAUGAAUGCAACUGUGGCCCAGAUUUUAGCCGCUAACGUCAUCAUGAAUGUAACCAGUGGAUGCGUUGAUUUUUAAUUACCACUCAUCUGCAUCUCUAAAGAGAAGAUACACAGUUUGUUAGUAAUUUUGUCAUUGUAACUUGUGUAUCAUUGUCUGCUAUUCUUUUUCAUUUUGUUACUAAUUAGGAUUUUGUUUUUCUUGAGGCAAAAAUAAGCUUGAAUUUAAAAAAGCACUUGUACUAUAGUCAGCCUUAUUCAUGUACAUUUCCACAGAGAUAUGUCCAAGAUAUAUGUGUGUUAGUUACUAAUGCAUUACUAAAGUAGUAUACAUAAUAUUGCUUAGAAGAGAAGCUUUUAAUAUGCAGCUAUCUAUAAUAUCUAGCAAAGUAUAUUCUCCCCUUUUUGUUACAAAAAGAGACUAGAUGCCACUACAUUUUCUUCUGUAUUUUUCCCUGUUCUAGUUUCUGUAUUAAAAUAUAGUACUUACUGAGAAACACCCUCCACCUCCACCCCCAUCCCCCCACACACAUAAUAUAUAAAUCAAUAAUUUGUUCCAGUUCAGGACAUUUUCAAAGAUGUACUGCCAGAGAUUGACCUAUUUGGCGCUGAUCAAUAUAUAUAUAUAUAUAUAUAUAUAUAUAUAUAUAUAUAUAUAUAUAUAUAUAUAUUCUUAUUAAUAAAAAGCUAUCAGAACAGGAGGUAAGUGAUGAAUGCAUUUUGACAUUAAUAAUAAAUAUUGUAGCCCUUUACUUUUUGCCUAGAGUUGUAUUUGUUUCAGCGAAUGUAUUAUGGAAGACUGGUUUGCAAAAUAAACAUCUAUUUUCUUUUGA